GUAUUGUUGAGGACACACAAAUUCUUAAGGACUCAGCUUCAGUGUGCAAAACAAAUUAUUCUGAAAUUAUAUUGGGCUAGUUCACCAAUAUUCAGAGACUAUGGCAUUUAUGUUGCUGAAUCUCUGUGCUCCUGCCCUCUUCCUGUGUCUUCUGAAAGCUGGAAGUAUCAGAGCCCAAUGCACACAGCCAGAGGUGGACUUACCCAUUAGGCAAAGGUAGGUGACCACCUUGAUCCCCCAAAAGCCAAGGGCCCCCUAAAUGCUUUUCAUAGAGGAGAUGCGUAUUAAGCACGGACACACCAACAUUGUGGUGUUCAUUAUCGCGACAACUGUCUGCGUGUCCGCGUCCUGCAAGUGUAUCCUUGUAGCAAAUGAAAUAUAAUGCAUCUGAAGCUGUAAUUAAAUAUUGAGCAACAAUGUGUAUUGUAUGUUUAUUGUUUUA